GAUGAAGAACGCAGCGAAAUGCGAUAAGUAAUGUGAAUUGCAGAAUUCAGUGAAUCAUCGAAUCUUUGAACGCACAUUGCGCCCGCCAGUAUUCUGGCGGGCAUGCCUGUUCGAGCGUCAUUUCAACCCUCAAGCACAGCUUGGUGUUGGGACUCGCGUUAAUUCGCGUUCCCCAAAUUGAUUGGCGGUCACGUCGAGCUUCCAUAGCGUAGUAGUAAAACCCUCGUUACUGGUAAUCGUAGCGGCCACGCCGUUAAACCCCAACUUCUGAAUGUUGACCUCGGAUCAGGUAGGAAUACCCGCUGAACUUAAGCAUAUCAAUAAGCGGAGGA
rnacentral:misc_RNA from 1 species